rnacentral:sRNA from 1 species
ACCUUCACGGUCACGCCGCGCCCGGUCUCAAGGCCCGCCUCUUUCAGCCAGUCGCCUUUAAGGUGCAGACUGGGGUGCUGUGGUCAUGUAGGUUUUGCUGUUGUAGUGACGGGCGCUG